AUGAAGGCCUUCGGGUUGUAAACCGCUUUCAGCAGGGAAGAAGCUAAAGUGACGGUACUUGCANAAGAAGCACCGGCUAACUAUGUGCCAGCAGCCGCGGUAAUACAUAGCGGUGCAAGCGUUGUCCGGAAUUAUUGGGCGUAAAGAGCUCGUAGGUGGUUCGUCACGUCUGAUGUGAAAAUCUGGGGCUUAACCCCUGACCUGCAUUCUAUACGGGCGAGCUANAGUGUGGUAGGGGAGACUGGAAUUCCUGGUGUAGCGGUGGAAUGCNCAUAUAUCAGGAGGAACACCNAUGGCGAAGGCAGGUCUCUGGGCCAUUACUGACACUGAGGAACGAAAGCGUGGGGAGCGAACUGGAUUACAUACCCUGGUAGUCCACGCCNUAAACGGUGGGCACUAGUUGUGGGAACCUUCCACGGUUUCUGCGACGC
rnacentral:rRNA from 1 species